CCAGUCUCCUAGGACACACUGCAGCCUCCUCAUAAUCAUCUUGUAGCUGUCUGUUGUCGUUUGGUUGGCCAUCAAAUUCAAUUCUUCAGAAACUCUGGGGGCUUCGUGAUACAUAGUCAUUGAAAACUGAAAUAAUAUGGAUAUGAAAAAGAUGCCCUUUUGUUUUAGGAAGAAACGAAAGAACCCCAAUUCCACAAGAUCACAAACUGAAUGCUCCUAGGGGAUUGAAAUUCAAACUUAACAACAGGACAGAGCUGUGGAACCCUGCUU
rnacentral:lncRNA from 1 species